rnacentral:rRNA from 1 species
UGCCAGCCGCCGCGGUAACACGGGGGGCGCAAGCGUUAUCCGGAUUUAUUGGGUUUAAAGGGUGCGUAGGCGGAAUAAUAAGUCAGUGGUGAAAUCCUGCGGCUCAACCGUAGAACUGCCAUUGAUACUGUUAUUCUUGAAUAUAGUUGAGGUAGGCGGAAUGUGUAAUGUAGCGGUGAAAUGCUUAGAUAUUACACAGAACACCGAUUGCGAAGGCGAUCUACUAAGCUACGAUUGACGCUGAGGCACGAAAGCGUGGGGAGCGAACAGGAUUAGAUA